CAGAAGAUAGUUUAGUUAAAAAUAAUAGCUUUGGGAGUUGUUGAUGUAAGUGUGAAUUCUUAUUUUCUGA
rnacentral:tRNA from 1 species